rnacentral:rRNA from 1 species
GCUCAGGACGAACGCUGGCGGCGUGCCUAAUACAUGCAAGUAGAACGCUGAAGAGAGGAGCUUGCUCUUCUUGGAUGAGUUGCGAACGGGUGAGUAACGCGUAGGUAACCUGCCUUGUAGCGGGGGAUAACUAUUGGAAACGAUAGCUAAUACCGCAUAACAAUGGAUGACACAUGUCAUUUAUUUGAAAGGGGCAAUUGCUCCACUACAAGAUGGACCUGCGUUGUAUUAGCUAGUAGGUGAGGUAACGGCUCACCUAGGCGACGAUACAUAGCCGACCUGAGAGGGUGAUCGGCCACACUGGGACUGAGACACGGCCCAGACUCCUACGGGAGGCAGCAGUAGGGAAUCUUCGGCAAUGGGGGCAACCCUGACCGAGCAACACCGCGUGAGUGAAGAAGGUUUUCGGAUCGUAAAGCUCUGUUGUAAGUCAAGAACGAGUGUGAGAGUGGAAAGUUCACACUGUGACGGUAGCUUACCAGAAAGGGACGGCUAACUACGUGCCAGCAGCCGCGGUAGUACGUAGGUCCCGAGCGUUGUCCAGAUUUAUUGGGCGUAAAGCGAGCGCAGGCGGUUUGAUAAGUCUGAAGUUAAAGGCUGUGGCUCAACCAUAGUUCGCUUUGGAAACUGUCAAACUUGAGUGCAGAAGGGGAGAGUGGAAUUCCAUGUGUAGCGGUGAAAUGCGUAGAUAUAUGGAGGAACACCGGUGGCGAAAGCGGCUCUCUGGUCUGUAACUGACGCUGAGGCUCGAAAGCGUGGGGAGCGAACAGGAUUAGAUACCCUGGUAGUCCACGCCGUAAACGAUGAGUGCUAGGUGUUGGAUCCUUUCCGGGAUUCAGUGCCGCAGCUAACGCAUUAAGCACUCCGCCUGGGGAGUACGACCGCAAGGUUGAAACUCAAAGGAAUUGACGGGGGCCCGCACAAGCGGUGGAGCAUGUGGUUUAAUUCGAAGCAACGCGAAGAACCUUACCAGGUCUUGACAUCCCGAUGCUAUUUCUAGAGAUAGAAAGUUACUUCGGUACAUCGGUGACAGGUGGUGCAUGGUUGUCGUCAGCUCGUGUCGUGAGAUGUUGGGUUAAGUCCCGCAACGAGCGCAACCCCUAUUGUUAGUUGCCAUCAUUCAGUUGGGCACUCUAGCGAGACUGCCGGUAAUAAACCGGAGGAAGGUGGGGAUGACGUCAAAUCAUCAUGCCCCUUAUGACCUGGGCUACACACGUGCUACAAUGGUUGGUACAACGAGUUGCGAGUCGGUGACGGCAAGCUAAUCUCUUAAGGCCAAUCUCAGUUCGGAUUGUAGGCUGCAACUCGCCUACAUGAAGUCGGAAUCGCUAGUAAUCGCGGAUCAGCACGCCGCGGUGAAUACGUUCCCGGGCCUUGUACACACCGCCCGUCACACCACGAGAGUUUGUAACACCCGAAGUCGGUGAGGUAACCUUUUGGAGCCAGCCGCCUAAGGUGGGAU